CGGGACACGUGGUAUCCUGUCUGAAUAUGGGGGGACCAUCCUCCAAGGCUAAAUACUCCUGACUGACCGAUAGUGAACCAGUACCGUGAGGGAAAGGCGAAAAGAACCCCGGCGAGGGGAGUGAAAAAGAACCUGAAACCGUGUACGUACAAGCAGUGGGAGCACGCUUAGGCGUGUGACUGCGUACCUUUUGUAUAAUGGGUCAGCGACUUAUAUUCUGUAGCAAGGUUAACCGAAUAGGGGAGCCGAAGGGAAACCGAGUCUUAACUGGGCGUUAAGUUGCAGGGUAUAGACCCGAAACCCGGUGAUCUAGCCAUGGGCAGGUUGAAGGUUGGGUAACACUAACUGGAGGACCGAACCGACUAAUGUUGAAAAAUUAGCGGAUGACUUGUGGCUGGGGGUGAAAGGCCAAUCAAACCGGGAGAUAGCUGGUUCUCCCCGAAAGCUAUUUAGGUAGCGCCUCGUGAAUUCAUCUCCGGGGGUAGAGCACUGUUUCGGCAAGGGGGUCAUCCCGACUUACCAACCCGAUGCAAACUGCGAAUACCGGAGAAUGUUAUCACGGGAGACACACGGCGGGUGCUAACGUCCGUCGUGAAGAGGGAAACAACCCAGACCGCCAGCUAAGGUCCCAAAGUCAUGGUUAAGUGGGAAACGAUGUGGGAAGGCCCAGACAGCCAGGAUGUUGGCUUAGAAGCAGCCAUCAUUUAAAGAAAGCGUAAUAGCUCACUGGUCGAGUCGGCCUGCGCGGAAGAUGUAACGGGGCUAAACCAUGCACCGAAGCUGCGGCAGCGACGCUGAUGCGUUGUUGGGUAGGGGAGCGUUCUGUAAGCCUGUGAAGGUGUGCUGUGAGGCAUGCUGGAGGUAUCAGAAGUGCGAAUGCUGACAUAAGUAACGAUAAAGCGGGUGAAAAGCCCGCUCGCCGGAAGACCAAGGGUUCCUGUCCAACGUUAAUCGGGGCAGGGUGAGUCGACCCCUAAGGCGAGGCCGAAAGGCGUAGUCGAUGGGAAACAGGUUAAUAUUCCUGUACUUGGUGUUACUGCGAAGGGGGGACGGAGAAGGCUAUGUUGGCCGGGCGACGGUUGUCCCGGUUUAAGCGUGUAGGCUGGUUUUCCAGGCAAAUCCGGAAAAUCAAGGCUGAGGCGUGAUGACGAGGCACUACGGUGCUGAAGCAACAAAUGCCCUGCUUCCAGGAAAAGCCUCUAAGCAUCAGGUAACAUCAAAUCGUACCCCAAACCGACACAGGUGGUCAGGUAGAGAAUACCAAGGCGCUUGAGAGAACUCGGGUGAAGGAACUAGGCAAAAUGGUGCCGUAACUUCGGGAGAAGGCACGCUGAUAUGUAGGUGAAGCGACUUGCUCGUGGAGCUGAAAUCAGUCGAAGAUACCAGCUGGCUGCAACUGUUUAUUAAAAACACAGCACUGUGCAAACACGAAAGUGGACGUAUACGGUGUGACGCCUGCCCGGUGCCGGAAGGUUAAUUGAUGGGGUCAGCGCAAGCGAAGCUCUUGAUCGAAGCCCCGGUAAACGGCGGCCGUAACUAUAACGGUCCUAAGGUAGCGAAAUUCCUUGUCGGGUAAGUUCCGACCUGCACGAAUGGCGUAAUGAUGGCCAGGCUGUCUCCACCCGAGACUCAGUGAAAUUGAACUCGCUGUGAAGAUGCAGUGUACCCGCGGCAAGACGGAAAGACCCCGUGAACCUUUACUAUAGCUUGACACUGAACAUUGAGCCUUGAUGUGUAGGAUAGGUGGGAGGCUUUGAAGUGUGGACGCCAGUCUGCAUGGAGCCGGCCUUGAAAUACCACCCUUUAAUGUUUGAUGUUCUAACGUUGACCCGUGAUCCGGGUUGCGGACAGUGUCUGGUGGGUAGUUUGACUGGGGCGGUCUCCUCCUAAAGAGUAACGGAGGAGCACGAAGGUUGGCUAAUCCUGGUCGGACAUCAGGAGGUUAGUGCAAUGGCAUAAGCCAGCUUGACUGCGAGCGUGACGGCGCGAGCAGGUGCGAAAGCAGGUCAUAGUGAUCCGGUGGUUCUGAAUGGAAGGGCCAUCGCUCAACGGAUAAAAGGUACUCCGGGGAUAACAGGCUGAUACCGCCCAAGAGUUCAUAUCGACGGCGGUGUUUGGCACCUCGAUGUCGGCUCAUCACAUCCUGGGGCUGAAGUAGGUCCCAAGGGUAUGGCUGUUCGCCAUUUAAAGUGGUACGCGAGCUGGGUUUAGAACGUCGUGAGACAGUUCGGUCCCUAUCUGCCGUGGGCGCUGGAGAACUGA
rnacentral:rRNA from 1 species